rnacentral:rRNA from 1 species
CACGUAGGGUGCGAGCGUUGUCCGGAAUUAUUGGGCGUAAAGGGCUCGUAGGCGGUUUGUCGCGUCGGGAGUGAAAUCACUGGGCUUAACCGAGUGCUUGCUUUCGAUACGGGCAGACUUGAGUUCGGUAGGGGAGACUGGAAUUCCUGGUGUAGCGGUGAAAUGCGCAGAUAUCAGGAGGAACACCAGUGGCGAAGGCGGCCAACUGGCCCGAUACUGACGCUCAUGUGCGAAAGCGUGGGGAGCAAACAGG